UGGAAACAGCCCUGCCACGAGGAAGACUU
rnacentral:piRNA from 1 species